CUGGCGGCAGGCUUAACACAUGCAAGUCGAACCGAAGUUACGGAAGCUUGCUUCUGAUACUUAGUGGCGGACGGGUGAGUAAUGCUUAGGAAUCUGCCUAGUAGUGGGGGAUAACUUGGGGAAACCCAAGCUAAUACCGCAUACGACCUACGGGUGAAAGGGGGCUUUUAGCUCUCGCUAUUAGAUGAGCCUAAGUCGGAUUAGCUGGUUGGUGGGGUAAAGGCCUACCAAGGCGACGAUCUGUAGCUGGUCUGAGAGGAUGAUCAGCCACACUGGGACUGAGACACGGCCCAGACUCCUACGGGAGGCAGCAGUGGGGAAUAUUGGACAAUGGGCGAAAGCCUGAUCCAGCCAUGCCGCGUGUGUGAAGAAGGCCUUUUGGUUGUAAAGCACUUUAAGUGGGGAGGAAAAGCUUAUGGUUAGUACCCAUAAGCCCUGACGUUACCCACAGAAUAAGCACCGGCUAACUCUGUGCCAGCAGCCGCGGUAAUACAGAGGGUGCAAGCGUUAAUCGGAAUUACUGGGCGUAAAGCGCGCGUAGGUGGUUAUUUAAGUCAGAUGUGAAAGCCCCGGGCUUAACCUGGGAACUGCAUCUGAUACUGGAUAACUAGAGUAGGUGAGAGGGGAGUAGAAUUCCAGGUGUAGCGGCGAAAUGCGUAGAGAUCUGGAGGAAUACCGAUGGCGAAGGCAGCUCCCUGGCAUCAUACUGACACUGAGGUGCGAAAGCGUGGGUAGCAAACAGGAUUAGAUACCCUGGUAGUCCACGCCGUAAACGAUGUCUACCAGUCGUUGGGUCUUUUAAAGACUUAGUGACGCAGUUAACGCAAUAAGUAGACCGCCUGGGGAGUACGGCCGCAAGGGUUA
rnacentral:rRNA from 1 species